CGCGCCGCCAGCGCCGUACCUCCGUCCACGCUGUCUGCCCGUGCCGCCCCUCCGUCUACGCCGCCCGUCAGCGUCCUCCAAUCGUCGGCGACACCUCCAUCCGCGCCGCUUGCGCCUCUAACUUCCUCCAUCGCAGGUCGGUACUGCGUGGAUCAACUGAACUGCUUAUAUCUUCUGAAUACUUGGUGCGUGGGAAGUGCUUAGUAGCCACUGCAUCUUUGAACCAAUUGGCACUGAUUUGUCUUGUGAUUGGUGAUAUGAAAGGAUACAAAUUGUGAAUCAUAAAACCCACCAGGUAGAUACAUAAGAGAACUUAGUAAAUCCUUACAUUGCCAAAAAUAAUUCCUACCUUACUAGCUACCAGUACUCUGCCAUUCAGAACAUUUGGGACAUUCAGAACAUAGAGUGCAAAGUGUAGCAGCCAAAAUAAUUCCUACCUUACUAGCUACCAGGACUCCACCAUUCAGAAUGUGUCAACAUCUAUGUCAUUAACAAUAGGAGCUGUCAACAGAUUGGUGAAACUUUCCAUGAACUCAUAUUUUGCAGUGCUUGCUUCCUUCGGUUUUGGUAUUGGUUUGGUCUUUUUUGCAGAUUUUUUUGAGACAACCUUCUUUACUGAACUAGUCUGUGAUGGUAUGUUCUCCUUUUCUCCCUGCUGGCUGAUGGGACAAUCUUCUCUUUCUUUUUUCGCUGUGGUCGCAGAUGGUGUUUUCCUCCUCCUCUUGUGUUGCCUCUCAAGGAAACCUAAUUUUCUUUUAGAGCCUUUCUUCUCAACCUCUUUUUUCUUCAGACGUGCAGCACUCAACAAUUCAUUUGAUGUUUGAGUCACUUGUGUACCACUCAAUGAUUCAUUUGAUGAUUGAGCCACCUGGACAUGGCAUCUGUCUUCAACAUUAGUUGUGCGUGCACUCAAUAGUUCCUUCACUUGCUUAGUAGCACUAAUAAGUGCAUUCUCGAUGACAAUACAAUAUUCUUUAGAGUUGGCUGCUAGAGUUGCCAACUCACAACACAUGUGUAUAAGAAAAUUGUAUCGGGUGAUGGCAUCCAACUUUGGAUUUUCAACUACAGUCCGUCCACAACAAUCUUUGAUGGAUCUUGACCGUGCUUCUCUUGUCCAUCGCUUCAAAAUGUAGUGUGCCGGCAACAACUUGAUAUUCAUUAAAUCAAGAACUUUCAAAGCAUGAGCACACAAAAUUCCUACUCUCUCAAACUGCCCACAACUACAUGAAGCCGUUUGUUGGUGAUUGUCUCCAACAACUUUGUAUUCUUCUUCAAAUGUUGCAUAUUGCCCAUCAAUAAGCCUUCCAAUCUUAACCAUGUAUUCAUUGUCUCCAGGUAGUAUAUGAGCACUUGCUGCCAUUGACCUCCCAUAUUCUAUUUGAAAAGCUUCAAAUAUAGCAGGAGUAUAAAGACUACUGACUUGUUGCAACAUUGGUGUGGGGAUUUUGAUUCUAGGUAGACUCUUCCUAGACUCGUACUCUGAAUUUAUCUCAGUGUCUCUUUUCACUUUCAUGGCUCUUUCAAAAUGAUGAAAAAGCGGUUGAUAUCUAAAUCUGACUUGAGAUGAUUCUUGAGGUCAUUGUUCAAACUUUCACUCAGUUGUGUGCUUCGCAUUCCCAAAGUGAAAGCAUCUCUCAUAAAACAUUCUGCCCACUUCUCCUUUACCUUAUAAAUACUAUCCAUCCAAGUUUGCUUUUUCACCUUGCUUCUCAUAACAUUAAAAGCAUCUUCAAAUGUUUCUCGGUCUUCGUAUUCAAACAUACAAGCACUGAAAUCUUUGAGAAGAGAUGAUUCAUUUUCCUCAUUAUCUCCCUCAUCCGCAUCGUCUUCGUUGUCUUCACUAUUCUCUUUGCUGGGUAGGUGCUUGAUAGCAUUUUGCAUAAUGUGCAAAGUGCACAGCCCAUGUAUUGAUUCUGAAAAAACAUGCCCAAUUGCCUUCCCCAUAGCACUAUCUUGGUCAGUAAAUAUGGUGCGUGGCUGCUUCUGGUUAUGUAUCGACAAGAAGGCAUGAAAUAGCCAUUUGAAAGAUUCGAAUGUCUCGUCAUAGAGAAGUGAAGCACCAAAUACUACUGUUUCUCUGAAUUGAUUGAAUCCAACAAACACACCAAAUGGCCUGUACUCUUUAUUUGUCCCAAAAGUAGUGUCAAAGGUCAUAACAUCACCAAAAUGAGCAUAAUCUAUGAUCAUUUUGGCAUCAGCCCAGAAUAUAUUUGUUAUUUGUUCCUCACUGUCCAACUGUACACAAAUUGAAAGGAAGGAUUCUCAAUGGCUUUGUCUUGAAAAUACUUCAACAUACGUCCAGCCUCACCAUACUUCAAUUCUCUUUGGCGCUUUGUUCGCAAGUGGUUCUUGUGAUCUACGCGUGUAUAAGUUAAACCAGCUGAACCACCAACACGUCGACUAGCAAAUUCAUGAGCAUUUUUUGGUGCAAUACCAGAGUCAUCAGCUAUUUCAAUUUCAAAAGCUUGCACUUUAGAGAUCCUUCUUUGUGAUGGCAACAAGUGGCAUGCUUCUGGCAGCUGAAGCAUGUGAUUAUGUUCAAGACAAAGAUCAUAUAUUUCAUAAUUUCCGACUUCACGGUCUAUUGUAAGAGACAUACGGACCUCACAAUCAGUUCUAAUUUCAGCUCGGCCUGUCUUAGUUAGGUUAUCUCUUUUAUCUGCAGACUUCUUCCCCUCUUUGAAACAUACAUAUCUGCAUGAAGUCACUACACCAUCAAAUUUACUCCGAGUUGUAAACCUCUUUCUAACACUGAAUCCCAUUCUUCCUCCAUAGUACCUCCAAAAGUCCCAUGCCUCAUCCAAAUUAUCGAAUUUCAUGCCAAGUUGAGGUUUCCAGCUAGGUGUGACAUUUGCCCUAUAAAAUAAACAAGUAAAGAUUAUUCUAACUAAUCCAUACAAAAGAAAGAGGAGAGGUGCAGAUUUGUUUCAUGAUAUACUUGCUACAUAGUGACACCAACAAGAACUGGUUUAACAUGUGCAACUCCUACUGAAAAGAUCCAUAAAAAGCAAAACUUACUUGUUUGGAUCUUGAUUCUCCAUUGAUCAGCCUCUAAAUUCUGACUUUGAUGUUGUAUUUGAUUAGGCCAGGUGCUUGUUGUCCUGAUACUCCAAAAGAGAAGAGGAAAAGAGCAUUUUGGAUGUGCUGAUGCUCCAAAAGAGAAGAGGAGAAAAGCAGUAUUGCUGUGCUGGGAGUGGCAGAUGCUCCAAAAGAGAAGAGGAAAAGAGAAAAAGUGAGGUGCAGUACAAACAGUGGAGGGGAAAGUGGAGAAGAAGUGGAGGGAAGCAACUCACGGGUGUGGUUUUGGCGCCAAGCUGGGUGACUUUUCCCUCCAAAAGAGAAGAAAGAGAAAGAGCAGGUCACGUGCAUGAGAAGGGAGAGGUGUUGUGUGUCCGUUUCCUGAAGGGAUGUCUAGCCCUGACUCCGCUCUGUAAUGUUAGAGGAUCCGGCUCCGUAAACACGUACGGUCAUUGCCAGGUGGAACCAUCGUAGGUGAAACCUGAUCUCAUUUCCACUCAAUUUUCAGAACAGAGAAUAAGCAGUCACCUGCUCUCAGCGUCUCAGAGCUUCUUAUCCGAGCACAGAGGUGUCUUCUAGAGGACAUGAAUUGAAAUGGUAAUCACAAAAGAGCAUGCGUUCAGAAACCAAAUAUAAAAGGUCAAACGAAAUACUCACACAGUACGAUUCAUGAUCAGCAGUAUCAAAAAGGGUUCAAGAAAGGAGCGUUUGCUUGAGACAGGGGCCCACUAGCUGGACACGAGAGCCCUACUGUUACUAGUAGAGAUAGAGAUUAAG
rnacentral:lncRNA from 1 species